UACGAAGGGAGCUAGCGUUGUUCGGAAUCACUGGGCGUAAAGCGCACGUAGGCGGAUGUGUCAGUCAGGGGUGAAAUCCCGGAGCUCAACUUCGGAACUGCCUUUGAUACAGCACAUCUGGAGUCCGGAAGAGGUGGGUGGAAUUCCUAGUGUAGAGGUGAAAUUCGUAGAUAUUAGGAAGAACACCGGUGGCGAAGGCGGCUCACUGGCCCGGUACUGACGCUGAGGUGCGAAAGCGUGGGGAGCAAACAGG
rnacentral:rRNA from 1 species